CCGGCGACCGGCGCACGGUGAGUAACACGUAUGCAACCUGCCUCCGCAGGGGAUAACCCGGAGAAAUCCGGACUAAUACCGCGUGGUACACCAGUGGGGCAUCCCACUGGUGUUAAAAGGAAGUGAUUCCGGCGGAGGAUGGGCAUGCGGCGCAUUAGCUUGUUGCGGGGUAACGGCCCACCAAGGCGACGAUGCGUAGGGGUUCUGAGAGGAAGGUCCCCCACACUGGUACUGAGACACGGACCAGACUCCUACGGAAGGCAGCAG
rnacentral:rRNA from 1 species